GCUCCGCUGGAGGAAGCGGAUAACUCACCUGACUCUCAAUCAGGAGAUUGCCGGUUCGAACCCGGCGCGGAGCA
rnacentral:tRNA from 1 species